ACUGUACAUUUGAGAAGGUAUACUCUAAAGGACUCGUAAAGAGGAUCAACGACGGAACCAUCCUUAUUAAUGACGCAGUCGUAGAAGUUACAUCGAAUUGCACUAAUUCCAGCCAACCAUUAAGCGGAUCAUUCCUGAUACAAUUUACCCAAUGUAACCUUCAUAUUAACGGAGAACUCUACUCCAACUAUGAAAUCACCAUACCUGGUAGACCAUACUAUCCAACAACCGGACUACGAGUAGACGAAAUUCAUAUCAUCGAUGAACCACCUAUGGAAUACUUACAAAAACUUACAUUGGAUCAUCGAGAAGAAUUGGAAACCUUGAAGCUGCAAAAUCAUUCCCUUUCAUGGAAACUCAAUGUAUUUGGAAGCGUUGGACUUUCGUCGGUAAUUAUUGUCUCGAGUUCAAUAGCAGUUUUCUGUUAUUUUUUCAGAAGGAAACAGCAAUCAGACAUCAAAGUCACAUUCAACAAAGAUGCUGAGACUAUCAUAAUUCAUGACUUGGAGCCAUCACCAUCUUCAACAUUAUCAGAAAGCAAAUCUCUCACAUCAAAUCCAGAGGAACUAUCAGAGGAAAGAAAGAAAGAACUUCAAACAUUUUUCGAUACUCCAACAGCACUCCGCACCAUCCACAUGUAACUUUGAGGACAAAGUCACUUAAGAGGGGAGGAGUUAGCAACAGCGCGGCCUGCAUCAUCAGUCCAUCGAUCCCACGAUUUCAUCAGACGAUGGAUGACAUAUCCCAGACCACUUUCUUCGAUAAUCCAAACAAUCGCCGUUAUUGAAAUCACGCCGAUCACCGAUGUCGCCAAUGCCAUGAUGCUACGGACCACCCGCACGCAGAGUCAUCAGAAUCCAUUAGCGAAAACCAGAAUGGACUGCAACAUAAACAAUCCCAAACUGUUCCCACGUUCCAGGACUAACCCAGAACUAACUUCGUAGGUUAAGAACAAAAUGUAAAUCAGUCUUUAGUAAACCGUGAAUAAACGAAGAGCUAAGGCUCAAAAUAUA